UGAAUGGGGCAACCCAACUGAUACUUUGUUAUUGUUACACUUUUGUGUAAUCAAUAAUGGGGUAAAACAGUUAUUAAUUACCUGAAUACAUAGGGUUUUUAAAGCAAACCUGGGGAACUGAAACAUCUAAGUACCCAGAGGAAAGGAAAUCAAUAGAUACUCCCGUAGUAGUGGCGAGCGAACCGGGACCAGCCGAGCGAUGAAUGUGACUAGAACCAGUUGGAAAGCUGGGCAAUAUGGGUGACAGCCCCGUAUAGGAAGCAUGAUUUGACGUAUUAAGUAGGGCGGAACACGUGAAAUUCUGUGGAACA
rnacentral:rRNA from 1 species